GUCGAACGGUGAAGCCCAGCUUGCUGGGUGGAUCAGUGGCGAACGGGUGAGUAACACGUGAGCAAUCUGCCCCUGACUCUGGGAUAAGCGCUGGAAACGGCGUCUAAUACUGGAUACGAACCGUGGAGGCAUCUUCAACGGUUGGAAAGAUUUUUUGGUCAGGGAUGAGCUCGCGGCCUAUCAGCUUGUUGGUGAGGUAAUGGCUCACCAAGGCGUCGACGGGUAGCCGGCCUGAGAGGGUGACCGGCCACACUGGGACUGAGACACGGCCCAGACUCCUACGGGAGGCAGCAGUGGGGAAUAUUGCACAAUGGGCGAAAGCCUGAUGCAGCAACGCCGCGUGAGGGAUGACGGCCUUCGGGUUGUAAACCUCUUUUAGCAGGGAAGAAGCGAAAGUGACGGUACCUGCAGAAAAAGCGCCGGCUAACUACGUGCCAGCAGCCGCGGUAAUACGUAGGGCGCAAGCGUUAUCCGGAAUUAUUGGGCGUAAAGAGCUCGUAGGCGGUUUGUCGCGUCUGCUGUGAAAUCCCGAGGCUCAACUUCGGGUCUGCAGUGGGUACGGGCAGACUAGAGUGCGGUAGGGGAGAUUGGAAUUCCUGGUGUAGCGGUGGAAUGCGCAGAUAUCAGGAGGAACACCGAUGGCGAAGGCAGAUCUCUGGGCCGUAACUGACGCUGAGGAGCGAAAGGGUGGGGAGCAAACAGGCUUAGAUACCCUGGUAGUCCACCCCGUAAACGUUGGGAACUAGUUGUGGGGUCCAUUCCACGGAUUCCGUGACGCAGCUAACGCAUUAAGUUCCCCGCCUGGGGAGUACGGCCGCAAGGCUAAAACUCAAAGGAAUUGACGGGGACCCGCACAAGCGGCGGAGCAUGCGGAUUAAUUCGAUGCAACGCGAAGAACCUUACCAAGGCUUGACAUAUACGAGAACGCUGCAGAAAUGUAGAACUCUUUGGACACUCGUAAACAGGUGGUGCAUGGUUGUCGUCAGCUCGUGUCGUGAGAUGUUGGGUUAAGUCCCGCAACGAGCGCAACCCUCGUUCUAUGUUGCCAGCACGUCAUGGUGGGAACUCAUGGGAUACUGCCGGGGUCAACUCGGAGGAAGGUGGGGAUGACGUCAAAUCAUCAUGCCCCUUAUGUCUUGGGCUUCACGCAUGCUACAAUGGCCGGUACAAAGGGCUGCAAUACCGUGAGGUGGAGCGAAUCCCAAAAAGCCGGUCCCAGUUCGGAUUGAGGUCUGCAACUCGACCUCAUGAAGUCGGAGUCGCUAGUAAUCGCAGAUCAGCAACGCUGCGGUGAAUACGUUCCCGGGUCUUGUACACACCGCCCGUCA
rnacentral:rRNA from 1 species